UCCCACCUCACUCUCUCAAUUGAUUUUGGGUAGAAUGAUGUCUAAACUCCUCCUUUGUUUUCUUUUCUUUCUCUCGUCCUCUCAGCUUCUUUCCUCCUCUUUCUCUUUCUCUAAUUCCACCAAACUAUGCCCGCAUCAGCAGGCUCUUGCUCUGCUCCACCUUAAGCAAUCCUUUUCUAUUGAUAAUUCCAGUUCUUGGGAUUGUGAUUCCAAUGGCAUCACUUCUUAUCCUAAAACAGAGUCUUGGAAGAAGGGUAGUGAUUGUUGCUCAUGGGAUGGGGUCACAUGUGAUUGGGUGACAGGCCAUAUAAUUGGGCUGGACCUCAGUUGCAGCUGGCUCUUUGGCAUCAUCCAUUCCAAUAGUACCCUUUUCCUUCUUCCUCACCUGCGAAGGCUCAACCUUGCUUUCAAUGACUUCAAUUACUCCUCUGUUUCAAUUGGGUUUGGUCGGUUCUCAAGCUUGAUGCAUCUCAAUCUCUCCUACUCUCUCUUUUCUGGAAAAAUUGCACCUGAAAUCUUCCAUCUCUCCAACUUGGUUUCACUUGAUCUGUCCGGGAAUUAUAAAGCAGAAUUUGCCCCGCAUGGCUUCAAUUCUCUGGUUCAAAAUUUAACCAAAUUGCAGAAGCUUCACCUUGGAUCUCUCCUAUUGCAAAUUCUCAGGGUCCAUCCCUACUUCAAUUGGCAAUCUAAAGUCUUUAUAGACUUUGGAUCUCUCCAAUUGCGAAUUCUCAGGGUCCAUCCCUACUUCAAUUGGCAAUCUAAAGUCUUUAAAGACUUUGGAUCUCUCCAAUUGCGAAUUCUCAGGGUCCAUCCCUACUUCAAUUUGCAAUCUAACAAACCUUCAGGACUUAAGAUUCUAUGAUAACUUGUUCACCGGGACAAUACCAUCCAGGUUAUACACUCUGGCAUCAUUGGUGAGCUUAGAUCUCAGUCUUAACAAACUCACUGGUCAUAUUGGUGAAUUCCGAUUUGAUUCAUUGGAGUAUAUUGAUUUGAGCAUGAAUGAGUUACAUGGGUCAAUUCCAAGUUCAAUAUUUAAGCUUGUAAACCAUAGAUAUCUUGUUCUUUCUUCAAAUAACUUCAGUGGCGUUUUGGAGACAAGCAACUUUGGAAAACUUAGAAACCUUACUUCGCUUGAUCUCUCAAACAACAUGCUCUCAUUGAUCACCUCUGCCAAUUCCAACUCCAUUUUACCAAGCAUUGUGAACCUAGACCUUUCAAACAAUAACAUUAGUGGAGUAUGGUCAUGGAAUAUGGGAAAGGAUACACUGCGGUACUUGAAUCUCUCUUAUAACAUCAUAAGUGGGUUUGAGACGCUUCCAUGGAAAAAUAUAGGAAUUCUAGAUCUUCAUUCCAACUUGUUGCAAGGACCACUUCCAACUCCUCCAAAUACUGCAUUUUUCUUUUCAGUAUCCCAUAACAAAUUGAGUGGAGAAAUCUCAUCAUUGAUUUGCAAAGCGAGUUCCAUGGGAAUUCUUGAUUUGUCUAAUAACAACUUGAGUGACAUGCUUCCUCAUUGUUUGGGGAAUUUUAGCAAAUAUCUCUCUGUUUUGAAUUUGCGAAGGAAUCAAUUUCAUGGCAUCAUUCCUCAAACAUUUUUAAAGGGCAAUGCUAUCAGGAAUCUUGACUUCAACGAUAAUAAAUUGGAAGGCCCAGUACCUCGAUCUUUGAUCAUUUGUCGAAAACUUAAAGUUCUAGACCUUGGGAAUAAUGUGAUAAAUGAUACAUUUCCCCAUUGGUUGGGAACUCUUCCAAAGUUGCAAGUUCUUGUUUUGCGUUCUAAUAGUUUUCAUGGUCAUAUAGGGCGUUCCAAAAUCAAAUCCCCAUUCAUGAGCCUAAGAAUCAUUGAUCUUGCUCACAAUGAUUUCGAGGGUGACUUGCCUGAAAUGUAUUUGAGAAGUUUGAAAGCAACAAUGAAUGUAGAUGAAUGCAACAUGACAAGAAAAUACAUGGGGGACAGUUAUUAUCAAGAUUCCGUAAUGGUGACAAUCAAGGGGUUAGAGAUUGAAUUUGUGAAAAUCUUGGAUACUUUCACAACAAUUGAUUUAUCAAGCAAUACAUUCCAAGGAGAGAUUCCAAAGUCCAUUGGAAAUCUUAAUUCACUCCGAGGACUCAAUUUGUCUCAUAACAACCUUGUAGGACAUAUCCCACCAUCUUUCAAAAAUUUGAAGUUGCUUGAAUCAUUGGACCUUUCUUCAAACAAGCUCAUUGGGAGAAUUCCUCAAGAAUUAACAAGUUUGACAUUUCUUGAAGUUUUGAAUCUUUCCCAAAACAAUCUCACCGGAUUUAUACCUCGAGGCAAUCAAUUUGAGACAUUUGGAAAUGAUUCAUACAACGAGAACUUAGGGUUAUGUGGAUUUCCAUUAUCAAAGAAAUGCACAACUGAUGAAACACUAAAGCCUUCAAAAGAGAUGGAUGCAGAGUUUGAAAGUGGGUUUGAUUGGAAAAUCACAUUGAUGGGAUAUGGAUGUGGAUUGAUAAUUGGGUUGUCUCUUGGGUGUCUCAUUUUCUUAACUGGGAAACCUAAAUGGUUGACAACGAUGGUUGAAGAGAACAUUCACAAGAAGAUCACAAGGUCUAAAAGAAGUACUUGUAGAAGAGGAGCAAGAAGAAAGUAGCAUAUUCCAACUGUAUUGUAUUUUGUGCUACAUAUUAUAAAUGGAUUUUACAUUUGUUAACAAAUAAUCUACUUGUUAUUAUAAAAGUGUAAUAUUGUUUGUAAAAUUAAAAUAAUGUUUUUUUCUUUUUCCUUUUUUUUUCUUUUUUGUGACAAUGCAACAGUCAUUAGGUUCAAUAUUUUUCCGGCCAACAUGAUAACUUAAAAUUCAUCAAAGAGCAAUUUGUAUAUCUUAGAGAUUAAUCAAACACUAAAGAAUAUUAAAGACUUAGUAGAAAUUUGGACAUACUUCUAAUUUUUAUUAUUUUUUAAAAACAAAACUUUGAUACAAGUAGAGACUUACACUAUGUUUUCAAAACUACUUUUUAAUUUAUUUUUAUUUUUUAAAUUUAAGAACACAAAGUUUUUAAAAUUUUAAAAAAUCUUUUAGAAAAUAUAAGAUAAAUCUCCUCUCUUGCUAAAAAAAAUGACUGCAUUUUAUAGAAGAGUUUAAAAACAAAAAACAAAAUACAAAAAUUGUUUCCAAACACCACUAUUUUUUUUUUCCCGAUAAUUCAUACUUUAUUAUUAUAUAGGGAAAGAACAAUAAUUUGUUUAUAUUAAAUAUAUAUGGGUAUAUUAUAACAACUAGUAUUUUAUUUGAGGAGCCACGACCGGGCCUAGUUCAAACCACGACAAGGCAUAACCAUUGCAACCAAAGCUCAAUUGGUAUUUCAUUGGAAAUCAUUUUUUAAAUAUAUGUUAUUGAAAAAUGUCAACUAUCACAUUAUGGAAAAGAAAAAUUUACGAAAGGACCACUUGAUAUCUUUUCAUUUGAAAGAAUAUCAUUGUUAGUGAUAUAUGUUAAAUAUUUAAAUCAAUUCUAUAAUUGCUAUCGAUAUUUGAAGAAGAAAAAACAUAAAUAAAUUAAAUAAUUUAACAUUUUUCAAUCAAUCUGACUUUAAUAAAUAAGGUUGAAGAUAGUGCACAAAAUCAAUAAAGAAAAAGCAUAUAUUUUUUUUAAUUAUUUAUUUAAACAAACUAAUAUUCAUUCAUUUUAUAUUUAUCUCUUACCAUUUUAAAAUAUUAAUAUUUAUUUUAAAAAUAUUAGUAUGCAUUAUAAUUUUUUAAAACAGUAUUAUUGAUUUUAAUAAAAAAAAUAUAAAUUCUAAUAUUCAUUUUUAAAAGUUGGUGAUUUCGGAAAUUUGUUUCUAAUAUUCAUGAAUUUAUACUCGUAUCUUUUUCUCAAAAUAAAUAAAUAAAUGUUAUUAAUUUGUUAUGAAUAGUGUGAUUUUUAAAAUAUAAUACUUGAUUAUUUAAUAAAAAUGUUGUUACUUAUCAUAACUUUUUAAAAAUGUAUUAUUUAUUAUUAAUUCGAAGAAAUAAAAUUUUAAUAUUUAUUUUGAUAGAAAAAAACCCAAUGAUAUUUUGUGGCCUUAUAAUAAUAAAGUUUAUUUUUAUUUUCAUUUUCUAUUUAAAUAAUUAUUUAAAAAAUCUGAAACUAAAAUCAUUGCCACGUAGGUUGCAACAUAAAAUGCAUGAUAGAUCAUAGAUGUAAUAACUUGGCAGUAAUAGGAAGCAUGUAUUGGAAUAUUAUACUCAUUUAAAAAUAUUAUUUUCACUCAUAAAACAAGUAAACCUAUCGAAAAAGUCAAGUGAUCACCAUAUCUCUUUUAUUUAUUAUUAAACUCAGCUUCAAUUGUAAAUUUUAAAAAAAGGCCAAAUGUAUACAAUCUUGAGUGGGGUCCACGCUACUGCCACAUGCUUUAUUUUCAUUUUUUUUAAAAAUUUAUUUACUUCCACUAUUUCUUUAAUAAAUAAAUAAAUAAAUAUUAAUAUUUCUUAUUUGUGUGUUCGUUGUGAUUAAAUCUACAGGUAGUUCGCAUUUUCUAAUUUUGACUAGAUUUAUAAGACGAAAACAAACGCAUUUGGAUGGAGCAAGUUUGAGGAGAUAGGUGGAUUUGGGCCUUCUCAAAUUUAGAUUUGGGCCUAGAACAUGAUUCAAAGCUCAGUCCAGCCCAAACGGCACACGUCUUAUUGGGUCUCAAUUUGGGCCUAUUGAGUUGACCUGGGCCAACCCGAUUCAAUUCAAUGGCAGGCAAUUGGUACCAUCAUCACUAGUAUACAAUUGCUGGUCUAAUUUUAGUAUUCUCUCUGUUUUUGAGUUUUCUCAAUCCCAAUUCACUAGCCAAAUUUUCAUACUUGUAAUGGGCAUUAAACAAGGUUUAAUUUAUAAUUAAAUAUAAUAAAUAGAAGAGAAAAAAAUGUUAAAAAAUUAUUUUCUAUGUUUGUUUAUUAUAAAAAAAAAUAUAUAAGAGAAAAUAAAUAUAAUUAAAAUUAAUUAUAGAUUUAUUUAUUUUUAAAUCAUUUCAUCUUUAUAUAGAAGAAAAAAAAAAGUGAAAUGAGUUUAAAGAAGAAUAUAAAAAUAAUUUAUCAUAUUUAAAUCUAUUUUUAAAAUUUUCUAGCAUUUUUUUUUUAUCUCUUUUCAUUUUCUUACCUUGAUAUUUUCUCAAGAUAUUUCCUUUAUCAUUUUUCAUUAUUGACGCCAAGUCAAUGGUUGAUGCUUCCACACGGUUUUGUGGAAAGAUGAUCAAGAAGAAAACAUGGCAAAUCUGAAAAAGAUACUCCACUUCUUUCAAAUACAAUUUUGUUUUUUAUUCUUUUUUUAUUUAUCAUACUUUCUUUACUAAUAUAUCACUUUUCAAAUAAAAUAAUUAAUUUACACUAAUUACUUUUUAACUAUAUUCUUUAAUCACCAAAGUAGCAAGAAUCUAUAUAAUUGUUUCCAGAUUUAGAACUCGUUUAAUAAUAAUUUUAGAAAACACUUUCAAUAUUUUUAUUGCUUAAAAAUUUUUAUAUUAAAAAUGCUAGAAACGCUUUAUAAAAUCACUCCCAAACUGGUUCUUACUCGUCACAUUAUUUAUUUGGCUAGAGGCCAUAAGUACAUUAGUGUAAACUAACAAUAUCAUUAAUUAGGAUAUUUUUUAGUAACUAAAAUCCUUAAUCUAAUUUUUUAUGGAUUUUUUUAUGGUCUUAAGAGGGAAUUGAUUGGUCAGAGUUUCAUAAGUUUACUAUUAAUGUAAUUAGUAGCCAAUCACUAUCUUUAAGUAAGUUAAUAGAUAUAAAUUUUAUCUUUAAAUUAAUUAUUUAGAAGAAUCAAUUGAUAAUUUUGGAAGAUGAUUUAUUUAUUUAUUUAUUUAUUACAAAAGAUGCUUUAGAAAAAAAAAAUAUUUUUAUAGUGUUGUAAACUCUUAGAUAGUGUUGUCAUUCUAUUGAUUCAUAGAAGUCAAAGUCAAGAAACGUGAAAAACGAAAGAAGGGAAAUUUCUAUGCUUCCAUGAUUCAUAGAAAAGAAGGUCAAAAGGCAAAUGAUUGAAAAAUGAAAGAAGGAAAGUUUAUAUGAAUUUAUGAUUCAUAGAAAAGAAGGUCCCCACACGGUUUUAUUUAUGGUGCGUGAAUGUUUUAAUAAUAUUAUGAUUUUAAAUAAAAAAGAAAUAAAUUUAUUAAUAAGUUUGUUCACAUAUUUUUCAAAAUUUGUUUUUCUUCUCUUUUACCUUUCAAAAAAAAAAUGAAAAUUUUGAAAAGAUAGAAAUAUUUUAAUAAUUUGAAUUGUUAUUUUUUUGCAAUUUUAAAUUAAACUAAAUAAUUAAUAUUAAAUUUAUUUUUUUUAAUUUGAAUCUUUUUAAUAUUUUCUUUGAUCCGAAGGGUAAUUUCAUUUUCAAACUUUUUAGACAAAUGAUAUUACCAAAAAUCUUGUGAUAUUCUACUAUUAGUGAUACUAACUAAGACAAAAAUUAUUUUCUUUUACCACUUAAUUAUUACCAUAGGAUGGUAUUAAAUUUAAAAGGAACAAAUAAAAUAGAAAAAUAAAAUAAAAAACAUUUUAUUUUACAAUAAAGGUGAAGAAAUAAAAUAAAAUAAAAAAUAAAUAUAAUUUCAUUCUCAUUUCCUUGCUUUUUCAUCUACUAUUGGUGGUCAAAGUUAUAAAUAUUUGCAUAUAUUUUUACAAUUUUUAGAUAAUUGGAGAAAAAAAGAAUAUAAAAGUAAUUUAUCACCUUUAAAUUUAUUUUCUUUUUUUAAUUUUAUGUCAUUUCUUAUUUCCUUUUAUUUUUCUUAGUAUUUUCUUUACUACUUUUUAUAAACCAAACACAACCUAAAAAUUAUUUUUAAAAAAAAUUAUUAUUUUUAUUUAAGCCAAAAAAUAAAAAUAUUUUUUUUAUUUCUCUUUUAUGAUAAACAAAAUGGUUAGAAAACUGAGUGCUUUGGUUUGAGUUUCCUCUUUCAUUUAUUUGAUCAAUAAAACAUUAUUAUUCUACUUUAAACUUGCAAAUUCAGCCAUGACCAUACAGAGAAAUUCAAACUGUGCCCUCUCAUGCUCCUCUGUUCUAUUUUCUCCCAAGUUAUUAAUUUUCUCGUCUUUCUCUAAUACCGGAGACUUGACUUCUUGUGGGCCAGCUUAAGAAAUCAUUUUUCAUUGUUGACCCUAACUCAAUGGUUCAUGCUUUCUCAUGAACCUUUUUGUUUUACUUUAAUAUUAUAAAAAAAGGUGGGUGGCUUUCACACGAUUUUGUGAAAGAUGAUCAAAACAUGAUUAUUCUAACUUGGAAUCAUUUGCAUAUAAAUUGGAGUGCACUUGUCACCAUUUCUCUCAUCUCAUCACUCUUUCUCUCUAUUGCUUUGGGAAGAAUGAUGUCUAAACUUCUCCUUUGUUUUCUUUUCUUUCUCUCGUCCUCUCAGCUUCUUUCCUCCUCUUUCUCUUUCUCUAAUUCCACCAAACUAUGCCCGCAUCAGCAGGCUCUUGCUCUGCUCCACCUUAAGCAAUCCUUUUCUAUUGAUAAUUCCAGUUCUUGGGAUUGUGAUUCCAAUGGCAUCACUUCUUAUCCUAAAACAGAGUCUUGGAAGAAGGGUAGUGAUUGCUGCUCAUGGGAUGGGGUCACAUGUGAUUGGGUGACAGGCCAUAUAAUUGGGCUGGACCUCAGUUGCAGCAGGCUCUUUGGCACCAUCCAUUCCAACACAACCCUUUUCCUCCUUCUUCAUCUACAAAGGCUCAACCUGGCUUUCAACAACUUCAAUGGGUCCUCUAUUUCAGCUGGGUUUGGUCGGUUCUCAAGCUUGACGCAUUUCAAUCUCUCUUACUCUGGAUUUUCAGGCCUAAUUGCACCAGAAAUCUCUCACCUCUCCACCUUGGUUUCACUCGAUCUGUCUGAGAAUUAUGGAGCAGAGUUUGCCCCGCAUGGCUUCAAUUCUCUGGUUCAAAAUUUAACCAAAUUGCAGAAGCUUCACCUUAGAGGUAUUUCCAUCUCUUCAGUUUUUCCUAAUUCCUUGCUAAAUCGGUCUUCUUUGAUAUCAAUAGAUCUCUCUGGGUGUGGAUUGCAUGGGAGAUUCCCUGACCAUGACAUUCA
rnacentral:lncRNA from 1 species